UACAAAAAUUACUUUUAUCUUCGAAACAACAGUGUAACAAUUCCGAGGGGCGCCAAGCGGGCUAGCGCCGGCCCUGUCCACGCGCCAACAAUUUCAAAGAUUAGUUACCACGGUGCCUCGACUCGUUCACCUGCCGCAUCUAACAUUCAAUCUCGCAACAAGGCCGAGAGGCGAAAAAUUUCCGUAAAAAGCUUGGAAGCGGUCAGUCAGGAGGUGGAUCAACCGGAUCGAAAAACUUGCUCGCUUCGGUUCAAGAUGGCAAAAAGAGGAGGUUGAGCGCUUAAUAUGCAUCGCGUCCCGCGUUCCUCGAAGCGCGGUUUCUUUCGUGCGGGUUAUGCCGAGGAACGAGACACGGAAGAGGAGCCCACUUUCUUCGAUUCGAGACUGGAAUCGGUAUCGAGGAGGUAAUCGAGGAUAUCGAGGAAAGAGUGGGUUUGGAUAUAUAGAUAUGGGGAGAGAUUUUAGAGGAUCUUUUCUCGGAAGAAGAGCGGAGAAAUUCUUCGAAUGCUGCGAUUACAGCUUCAGGAAUGGCGAAAUAUUUGGUGGGUUAUAAUUCUAUUAAAAAAUGGACUUUUACCGUUUUAUGUGAUGAGCACGCUUCAAACACUGCAACUUUUGAUCCUCUGUCAGUAGACAUCCACUUUUCCAAUUUUUAAACUCAUACAGGAAUAAUAUUUUAAAUUAAUUCAGUAGUAACACUACUGUUCACUUCUCAAAAAACAGGUUAACUAAUACAAGAAAGAAGUUGCACAAAAGAAAUAUAAAAGGACAAUGUGCUAAGCAAA